UCGUGUCUAAAUUAUAUAUAACUGUAAGAAGAAUGAAGUUGUUUAAACAAGAAAGAAACAAACUGAUUUAGAAGAGACAAAUACAAAAACAAAAAGAUGAGGGUCGUAUUAUUUUUAUUCAUCUUACUUCACAAAGGUUUCUCCGUGUAUAUCAUCAUCAACGCCCUUCAAUAUAUCUCUCCACAACACAAGAUCUCGUCCCCAAAGACUAUAUUUGAGCUUGGAAUUUUCAAACAGGCCCUAAGUUCCGGUGUCGGUG